UUGACGGGACCGCACAAGCGGUGGAUGAUGUGGUUUAAUUCGAUGCAACGCGAAAACCUUAACCCACCUUUGACAUGGCAGGAAUCCUAAGAGAUUGGGAGUGCUCGAAAGAGAACCUGCACACAGGUGCUGCAUGGCUGUCGUCAGCUCGUGUCGUGAGAUGUUGGGUUAAGUCCCGCAACCGAGCGCAACCCUUGCCAUUAGUUGCUACGAAAGGGCACUCUAAUGGGACUGCCGGUGACAAACCGGAGGAAGGUGGGGAUGACGUCAAGUCCUCAUGGCCCUUAUAGGUGGGGCUACACACGUCAUACAAUGGCCGGUACAGAGGGUAGCCAACCCGCGAGGGGGAGCCAAUCCCACAAAGCCGGUCGUAGUCCGGAUCGCAGUCUGCAACUCGACUGCGUGAAGUCGGAAUCGCUAGUAAUCGCGGAUCAGCAUGUCGCGGUGAAUACGUUCCCGGGUCUU
rnacentral:rRNA from 1 species